rfam:Burkholderia pseudomallei strain K96243, chromosome 1, complete sequence.
CAAAAAACCAGCGUCGACUGGGCGCUGGCGAGGACGACAUACAAACCGUCAGAAGGCCGUGCAGGUAUCGGCGGACGGCGACGCGAUGCGUCUAUAGGGCCGGGGAUUAAUGGUUCAACUACUGGGGCCUGCAACCAAUGUGAGCGGAUUCUAGCAGGGUUUUAUAGAUCGUCAACACUAUAGAAAUUCGUUUCUAUAACAAAAAGUAA